rnacentral:lncRNA from 1 species
AAAAAGUGCUCUAAUUUGGUUAUUUCUGGUUUCUUCUCCAGGACUAAGUUAAAGGUACUUAUUUUAUCAGCAUAUUUCAUAAUUGAGGCUGUGUCUACAUCUCAAUGCAUCACUUCAGAAAGCUUGUGACAUCAUUCUGAUCACUCAAAGAGGUCUCCACUAGAUUUCUCCACUAAAAAGAUUCAUUUUCCUUCCAUGUAAUUAAUACAUAAUUGAUACAGAGAUUGACACCAUGUUGAUAUCAUGUUUCCCAGUAAAGAUUCACCCAAAUUCUUGCCUGAACACUUCCCACCACCUGAUGGAGUGGAGGAUUCUAAGUUCCAAGAGGGCAGAAGCAGAUUUUCUUUCAUUUACUGUUGUGGCCUCACACGUAGCUACGACUGUGCCUGCUGCACACCAGGAUGCAAUAAACGUUGGCCAAGUGCCUGAAUGGAGUGUUUGUCUCUUUCAUAUCUUAACAUGGACCUAGCCUUCCUCACCAUAUUCUUUUAAAAACUGUUUAUUUGCUUCUUUGGUCUGCUUACUUUUCCAGAAAAAAAAAUAGAAUAUAAUUUUAAGUUAUCUAACAAACAAGCAAGCAAAAAUAUCUCUAUUUAUUUGUUGAAAUCAUCUGUCUUAGUCCACUUUGUGCUACUAUAACAGAAUACUUAAGAUUGAGUAAGUUAGAAAGAAAACAAAUUUACUUCUCAGGAUUCUGGUGGCUGGAAGUCCAAGAUCAUGGCAUUGGCCUCCGGGGAGGACUUACUGCUGUGUCCUCACAUGGCAGAGGCAGAAGUGCAAGAGAGCAAGCCAAACUAAUGCUGCGUGAAGCUUCUUUUCUAAAGGCCUUAAUCCCUUUCCUGGGGAAGGAGCGCUCAUGGCCUAAUCAUCUCUUAUAGACCCCACCUCUUAAUACUAUCAUAUUGUAAACACCUAAAUUUUGAAGGGGAUACAUUCAAAUUAUAGUAUUGUCUAAACUUAAAAAAUAACUUGGGGAAAAUUGACAUUUUAAACAAUAUCUGCCUUACCAUUGAGAAAUAUGGAAUGUUUAUUCUUUCCUUCCUCUCGAUAGUUCUUCUACAGCUCUCAAUGCAGCUUUUAAAUUCUAUCAUAUAUGUUUGUUUUUGAGAUUAUUUUGAGGUAUUUUAUGGAAUCUUUCAUGUUAUUAGAGUGAAUAGUAUUCUUUUUC